UUGUUACGGAGAACAAGUGCUAGUGAUAAGCUGGCACUUUGACCGUUACUUAUCAGAAAGCCACGGGCUUACUACCGUGCCAGCAGCCGCGGUAAUACGUAGGUGGCAAGCGUUAAUCCGGAAUUAUUGGGCGUAAAGCGCGCGCAGGUGUUUCUUAAGUCUGAUGUGAAAGCCCCACGGCUCAACCGUGGAGGGUCAUUGGAAACUGGGAGACUUGAGUGCAGAAGAGGAAAGUGGAAUUCCAUGUGUAGCGGUGAAAUGCGUAGAGAUAUGGAGGAACACCAGUGGCGAAGGCGACUUUCUUGUCUGUAACUGACACUGAGGCGCGAAAGCGUGGGGAGCAAACAGGAUUAGAUACCCUGGUAGUCCACGCCGUAAACGAUGAGUGCUAAGUGUUAGAGGGUUUCCGCCCUUUAGUGCUGAAGUUAACGCAUUAAGCACUCCGCCUGGGGAGUACGGCCGCAAGGCUGAAACUCAAAGGAAUUGACGGGGGCCCGCACAAGCGGUGGAGCAUGUGGUUUAAUUUGAAGCAACGCGAAGAACCUUACCAGGUCUUGACAUCCUUUGAAAACCCUAGAGAUAGGGCUUUUCCUUCGGGAGCAGAGUGACAGGUGGUGCAUGGUUGUUGUCAGCUCGUGUCGUGAGAUGUUGGGUUAAGUCCCGCAACGAGCGCAACCCUUGAUUUUAGUUGCCAUCAUUAAGUUGGGCACUUUAAGGUGACUGCCGGUGACAAACCGGAGGAAGGUGGGGAUGACGUCAAAUCAUCAUGCCCCUUAUGACCUGGGCUACACACGUGCUACAAUGGACGGUACAAAGAGCUGCAAGACCGCGAGGUGGAGCUAAUUUCAUAAAACCGUUUUCAGUUCGGAUUGUAGGCUGCAACUUGCCUACAUGAAGCUGGAAUCGCUAGUAAUCGCGGAUCAGCAUGCCGCGGUGAAUACGUUCCCGGGCCUUGUACACCCCGCCCGUCACCCCCCGAG
rnacentral:rRNA from 1 species